CAUCUCAUCAUGUGCUUGUUGGCCAUCUGUGUAUCUUCUUUGGAGAGAUGUUUAUUCAAGGCCCUUUGCCCUUUCCGAUCAGGUUGAUUGUUUUUUGUCAAGUUUUAAGAGUUCUCUCUAUAUUCUGGAUAUCAAUCCAUAUCAGACAUACGAUUUGCAAAUAUUUUCUCCCAUUCUGUAGGUUGCCUUUUUGUUCUGUUGAUAGUGUCCUUUGAUGCACAAAAGUUUUUAAUUUUGAUGAAGUACAACUUACCUAUUUUUUUCUUUUGUUGCCUGUGUCUUUGGUAGCAUAUCCCAGAAGUCAGUGCUAAAUCCAUCGUCAUGAAAUUUUCUAUGCUUUCUCCUAAGAGUUUUAUGGUUUUAGUCUUCCAUUAAGUCUUGGAUGCAUUUUGAGUUAAUUGUUGUAAAUGGUGUGAGGUACGGGCCCAGCUUCUUUUUUUUGCACGUGGAUAUCCACUUUGGGGAAGACGUACUUAUAUGCCAAAGAAAACAAGUCACGCUUUACAAGCACCCACUCAGGGCCGCGUGCGUCGGUGACAUCACCCGCUGGAGCCCCGACUCCUGGACUCGCACAGACAGGUCUGGAUCUGCGGGCUCUGCCCCGCUCUGACCCCAAAGAAUCCUGUUACCUUCACAUGUAACACAGCACAGGGGAGGUGACUGGCAGAGCAGAGACAGGUGGGCAGCGGGUUCUGAUCCCUUCCCUUCUCAGCUGGUUCACGGGACAGGCUGGAACAGGGGAGGCGUGGGGCUCCCUCAGCGAUGCCCCCUGCUCCUGGUCCUGUCCUGUGGUCUCAAACAACUUAGCGAAGCCUGAGGCCCCAUGUGUAAAAUGGGUCACAAUAUUUGCCUCGCACAGGUCAUUGUGCUGAUGAACAAGCGAAGAGAAAAGGUAAGCACUAGUCCCUCUUCCAGCAAUCGCAUGUGGGUGUCUCCUUCCUGUGAAACUUCUCCUAUUUCCCCAGGGAAACUGAGCACCUUUGUCUGUCUCCCAGUUGUGUCCUGUUGACACCCCCAGAGGACCUGGGAACUUUAUAGGGCUUGGGGAUCCCCCACGAGGCUGAGCUUUCCUUUCUUUCUGGGAGUCUCACCAUCAUUAAGCCCACUUCCGCCCUAGUGCAACGCUGUCGAGCAUGAUGGAUGUGCAUGAGUAUUGCUUCACAUGCUUGUGGAAAUGCAGCUUCCUAGGCUCGGGAAGGGACCCAGGUGACUCAGUUGCUGCUUUGUUUUAACCACCUGGACCUUGACCACCCCACCUCUGGUGACUUUUGCUUCUAUUCCAGGCUGACCACCUGAUUCCACGGCCACAUCAAGGACUUUGCCACCACCCCCCAACAGCUCCACUCCUGGAAUCUUCCUUUCAAACAUCUCGAGCGUGGCACCACGACCUCCUACACUGCUGGUUCUCCCUUGGUGACUGCAUGGGUCCCCACCUCACACCAUCUCUGCUUUCCCUCUGUUCCCAGCUCAGUGAGGGGACCUGUCCUGAGCCCCCUCCUUUCUUAGGAAGCCCGCCAGGCCUCAGACUGAUGGCAGUUCUGAGGUUCUGCCUCCUGAAGAGUGAUCCUGGGCUGUCUCUGCCAGACCCACCUGGGGAGACCACUCUCUGGGCCGGGGCCUGGGUCUCAGUUUGCACAGACAGCUCUCACUUCCCCAGAGGCCCAUGUGCACAUCAGAUGCUAAUCGCCGUGGUCAGGUUGUUCUGGAAGCUUGAACUGAAAGGCCACCUAAGGCUGGGCUGGAGGCCUCCGCAGAGGCCCCUUUAGAAAGAGAGAAGCACAGGCAGGGAUUCGCCAAUUCUGGGAAUUUCAUACACAUGGAGCUCUACAAUAUACGGCCUUGUGACUGCCUUCUCUCACUGAGCAUGACGGCCCCAAGGCUCAUCCCGUCGCGGCAGCUAACUGCCAGACUGUUUUCCACAGGCUGCCCCAGUUUUCACUCCCACAAGCAGUGCAUGCAGCCUCCCACUGCCACAUCCUUGCCAACACUGGUUAUUGUCUGUCUUUGAUUCUGGCUGUGCAGUGGGUGUGAAGCCGGAUCUCAUUGUGCUUUGAUUCGAAUUCUCUGGGUGACUAACGAGGUGGGGUGUCCGGCAUGUGGCCACGCUUCAUGAAAACACUCAGCAACCUGGGUGUCCACAUGCUGUUGCUCCACGAGGCCCCAGGGCCAUCGGGGUGGCCGGGACAGACACAGACCUGCCCCAGGGAGCUUCAAGUCCAGAGGGGUGCAGAGACGUGCACAAAACAGGUACUUGCCACAACAGGUCCUGGGGGAUCCCCCACAAGGUGACCCACGAGCCACAGUCCCGAAAGGCCCCAGGGCACUUGGCAGGAGGGAAGGGCUGUGACCUUCCUCCAGGUCUCCAAUAAAAUCAGAAUCCAGAUGAGACUGUUGGCGGUGCCGGAACUCGUCCCAGAACAUAACCAUUCUUUUUUUGUUGUUGCUAAUUUUAAUAAUAUAGUUUACUUAAGCCAAUAUAUCCAUAUUACCAUUUCAACAUGUAAUCAAUAUUUUUAAAUUAAUGAGGUGUUUUACAUUCUUGUUUUCGUACUGUCUUUAAAAUCUGGUAUGUAUGUUUUUUAUUGAGUUCAUCUAGUUUACAUCAUUGUGAAACUUCAGAUAUACAUCAUUUCUUGUCGUCACUGUAUAGGUGCUCCCCUUCACUCUCUGUGCCCUCCCCGCAGAACACAACCGUUCUUCAUUUUAAAGUUGACCGUAGAAACAGCAGAGAUUCGGAGAGAGGACAAAGUCUCCAAUGGAGGAUUACAGGACUAGGAGCCAGCAAACAGGUGUGGGGCAGGGCAACCUGCGAAAGCCAAGGGGCCGCCUCGUCCCCGCGGAGGAGCCCAGCUCCCGCCCCAGGGACAAUGACCAUCGGACGCAGCGGCCACCCCCACCUGGCGCCGCCCAGCGUCCCCUCCCCGGACCUGCCGGCAGCGUUUCACGCGUCUCU